rnacentral:rRNA from 1 species
UACGUAGGGCGCAAGCGUUGUCCGGAAUUAUUGGGCGUAAAGAGCUCGUAGGCGGUUUGUCGCGUCUGCUGUGAAAACCUAAGGCUCAACCUUGGGCUUGCAGUGGGGUACGGGCAGACUAGAGUGCGGUAGGGGGUGACUGGAAUUCCUGGUGUAGCGGUGGAAUGCGCAGAUAUCAGGAGGAACACCGAUGGCGAAGGCAGGUCACUGGGCCGC